rnacentral:lncRNA from 1 species
GAUUACCUUAUGAGUCAGCAAUUCCACUCUUGGAUAUAUACCCAAAAGAAUUAGAAACAGGUGUUGAAACAAAACUUCCAUGCAAAUGUUCGAAACAGCACCAUUUACAAUAACUCCAAAGUGGAAACUACCUAAAUGCCCAUCAACUGAUGGAUGGUUAAACAAAAUGUAGUAUAUCCAUACAAUGGAAUAUUAUUCAGCCAUGAAAAGGAAUGAAGUGCUGAUGCUUGCUACAACAUGAUGAACCAUUGAAAACAUUAUGCUAAGUGAAAGAAGCCAUUCACCAAAGGCCACAUAUUGUAUAAUUUCAUUUAUAUGAAACAUUCAGACUAAGCAAACCCAUUAUGACAGAAAGUAGAUUAGUGGUUGCCAGGGCUUUGUGGGAGGGAGAAAUGGAAGUCACCGCAUAAAAAGUAUGGUGUUUCCUUUUGAGAUUAUGAACGUGUUUUAAAAGUAGAUCAUGGUGACAGUUGCACAAAUUAUGAAUGUAUUACAUGUCACUAACAGUAAGUUUUAUUUUCUGUACAUUUUACCACAACAAUAACAAAAAUCCAAAUUCUAAGUGGAGCAAGGUAGAUAACAGAAGUUAAUGAAUCUGCCAGGUCAGAAAUUUGGGCAAACUGGAGUGUGAAGUUCCCUCUCAAAGCAGGUUGCUAUUAUACAGCUCCACCUGGUAGUUGCAGAGAGAGAAUCUGGGCCCAUUGUUGCCAGGUUGUUGUUUUCUUAAGCUGCUUCUCAAAGUUUAAUGCAUAUACUUGUUACCUGUGAUCUUGUUAAAAUAGAUUCUGGUUCAGUAGGUCUAUGGUGAGACCUGAGGAUGUGUCUUUCUAGAAAGUUCUACAGAAGACACUUUGAAGACUAAGAGUCCAAAUCAGAAGUUCUCCAACUUGGCUGAACAUUGAUAGUACCUGGGGAGUUUUAAAAACACUGAUGUUCAGGCCCCAUGCCCAGAGGCGCUAAUGUCACAGGUCAGAGUGGGGAUCUGGGCAGAAGGAUUUUGCAAAGCCCCACUCCCCUGAACCUAGGUAAUUCUGAUGGGCAGCAAACCUUGAGUGCAGGCACCUGAGGUGACCUGUAGAGACAGUACACAGCUCUCAGUCUCUGAGGCUGGGGAAUAUUUCUGGAGGCCAAGGUAACAGCUUCCCUCCAAGGUGACCUUUUAAGAAUAGUCAGUCCUCUGAGCUUUCUCCCUAGCAAAGCCUUCCAUCUUGAAUAUGGGAGGACUCCUGAGCGCAACUCGGACCCUGCCCAGUCCCAGGCAUGUUGUAAUUCUUGGCAACCUGCUGAUCUUCUUUGGUUGGUAACUCCCUCUUCUUUGGUGCGGGGACCUUUGUUAGACAGUUUCGUGUAACUGGGUCCAAAUUGUUAGCACAACCAAGCGAAAAUGAGACUCCUUCUUUAAAGAAAGGAAG